rnacentral:rRNA from 1 species
AUUGAACGCUGGCGGCAUGCCUUACACAUGCAAGUCGAACGGUAACGGGCCUUCGGGUGCCGACGAGUGGCGAACGGGUGAGUAAUACAUCGGAACGUGCCCGAUCGUGGGGGAUAACGAGGCGAAAGCUUUGCUAAUACCGCAUACGAUCUACGGAUGAAAGCAGGGGACCGCAAGGCCUGACGCGGGCGGUGCGGCCGAUGGCAGAUUGGGUAGUUGGUGGGAUAAAAGCUUACCAAGCCGACGAUCUGUAGCUGGUCUGAGAGGAUGAUCCGCCACACUGGGACUGAGACACGGCCCAGACUCCUACGGGAGGCAGCAGUGGGGAAUUUUGGACAAUGGGCGCAAGCCUGAUCCAGCCAUGCCGCGUGCAGGAUGAAGGCCUUCGGGUUGUAAACUGCUUUUGUACGGAACGAAAAGCCUUCUUUUAAUACAGGAGGGUCAUGACGGUACCGUAAGAAUAAGCACCGGCUAACUACGUG